rnacentral:rRNA from 1 species
UACGGGGGGGGGCAAGCGUUGUUCGGAAUUACUGGGCGUAAAGGCUCGUAGGCGGCCAACUAAGUCGGAUGUGAAAUCCCCAAGCUUAACUUGGGAACUGCAUCCGAUACUGGAUGGCUUGAAUCCGGGAGAGGGAUGCAGAAUUCCAGGUGUAGCGGUGAAAUGCGUAGAUAUCUGGAGGAAUACCGGUGGCGAAGGCGGCAUCCUGGACCGGCAUUGACGCUGAGGAGCGAAAGCUAGGGGAGCAAACGGG